rnacentral:tRNA from 1 species
CACUAUACAGCUAGACAGGAGCAAGCGAUAGCCUUUUAAGCUAUUAUGGGUGGCUCCUAACCACCCUUAGUGA